rnacentral:tRNA from 1 species
GGCCCAGUGGCUCAGUUGGUUAGAGCGUCGCCCUGUCACGGCGAAGGUCGUCGGUUCAAGUCCGAUCUGGGUCGCUA